rnacentral:rRNA from 1 species
CCUACGGGCGGCAGCAGUGGGGAAUAUUGGGCAAUGGAGGAAACUCUGACCCAGCAACGCCGCGUGAAUGAUGAAGGUCUUCGGAUCGUAAAGUUCUUUUCUAAGGGAAGAAGAAAGUGACGGUACCUUAGGAAUAAGCCUCGGCUAACUACGUGCCAGCAGCCGCGGUAAUACGUAGGAGGCAAGCGUUAUCCGGAAUGACUGGGCGUAAGGGGUGCGUAGGUGGUUUGACAAGUUGGUAGCGUAACUCCGGGGCUCAACCUCGGCACUACUACCAAAACUGUUGGACUUGAGUGCAGGAGAGGCAAAUGGAAUUCCAGGUGUAGCGGUGGAAUGCGUAGAUAUUAGGAGGAACACCAGUGGCGAAGGCGAUUUGCUGGAAUGUAACUGACACUGAGGCACGAAAGCGUGGGGAGCAAACAGGAUUAGAUACCCCGGUAGUC